GGGACUCCUGAGGGCCAGUCUUCCAGGAAGCCACAUAACAAAUGGAACCAGACUGCACCAGAACAAGAGAGAAAAAUUUUAGCAGCAGAUCUUCGCAACUAUCACAUCUUUGUAACAGGAUUGUAUGUGAACACCUCAGGAUUUGAGAUGCAGUUACUGUAUAUUGUAACAAGAUCAAGGACGGCAAUCCUUGAAGUUUUUCUGCUUGUGGCUCUGAAGAGCUUAGAAGAAUCUUUUCCAUCAGGUGUUAUCAGUUUGCCUUCUGUACAUGUAUUGUCUUAAUUACAUGCUACCUAAGCUUGUGCUUUACUUUCCAAUAAGCAGUUUUCUUCAAGGCAGAAGGGCAUGCUGUAGCUUUUACCAGCCAGACACUUCUCAGAGGAACACAGCGAAAGGACAAGAAGCGGCAGUCAUAAAUUGCAGCAACGGAAAUUCUGACUGGACUUAAAAGAACAACUCACUCCCAGUGUGAAGGGUCAAGCCUUGGAACAAGCUGCCCAGAGAAAGUGUGGAAUUUCCAUUUUUGGAGAGUUUCAAAACUCAGCUGGAUAAGGCCCUGAGCAACCUCAUCUAACUUUGAAGAUAGCCUUGCUUUGAGCAGGUAUUUGACCUCCAGAGGUUCCUUCCAACCUAUUUUUCUUCUGUGAUCCUAUUAAGGAAAUCCCAAUUCUUUAGUGUCUUCAUCCUGUUUCUGCGCUAAGGAUCCCUUCUUGUGGAAGCAACUCUGAGCUUUUCUAAACAGCUAUUGGAAAAAGCUCGUAUAAAUGCAUGAGACUGAAAUACCAUUUCAUUAUAAAUCAAGACGUAUCAGGGAAAGUUCCCCCUAUCUUUUUGUAGUGAAGAUCAAGCAGAGAUAAUUUAACAAUCAGAAAAGAGACAGGAAAGCUGUUACGUACAUUGUAUCUGGCUAACGUAUCUACCAAAUAUCGUGUCAAGAGACAAUUCAGAGGAUUAAACUGGACUCUUCUUGUGAAUACAAUAAGGAUGCAACAUGCAUUUCCCUCUGUAGGCUACAGUUCCACUCGUUUGCACCUUUCGAGGCAAGCUUUCACUCCUGCAGGCCCUGGCAGCAUGCAAGAAUGUGUAUCCCACUAUGGGCAACAUCAUUAGUUGAUGCAAAAUAGUAAGUCCUCCCUUGUACUCCGCAACUGCACCGCUCUUGUUUUUCUUCUUCUUCAGACAUGAGUGUGGGGACCAGCCCCGCUCUUUUGUCCUCAGUUGCAUAAAACUGAAGGCAUAGGUUCGACUGAUAACAAAGCAUGAGAUACAACAGAGGAAAAUAAGAACCAGUGAAAUUAAUUAUGUAGACAUUUUCAAAAUGCUGUGCUAAUGCAAUUCAUUUGCAGAUGUUAAAAAUAACUAAUUGUUUUGUUACUGGUAGCAUAUUAUUUUAAAGUCACAAAACAAGCUUGUUGAAGAAGAAAUAUCUAAACAGAUGAGAUUGCAGUUAUUUGUGAAUUUCAUCCAGAAUCUGUUAUUAACAUUUAUAUAUAAAGAAUAAUAUUCUCCCCAACUCUUUGACUUGAAAUCGUAAGCCCGUGAUAAAUAGCAUUUAAAUGCUAAAUUUACCAAGCCAGACAAGACUGAUGCAAGCCUGAAUCAUUUCAGAUUUUCGCCACAUCUAUAUUUCCAGCAGUACAGGAUAGUUUACAUUUUUAUGGUGCUAAUGUAUUGCUUAAGAUUCAAUGAAAGAGAUGUGAAUUGUCCAUACAUCCCUAAAGAGAAAGAAGCAGAAAACAACUUGGCAUUUGACAUUUAGAUCUGCAUUUGUUUCAUUUUUAAUAGUUUUAGUUAUCAGGGUUCAGUUGUUAGCAUGGGAUGGAAGAAAGAGACAAAACUGAAACAAUCUUAUUUAAAACAGAGAAUGGAAAUCACUUGCACGAUUUGAAAACUUUUCUUUGUCAUGCUCCGUAUAAUAUGAUGUACCUACUAUCUGAGAGGAAAAAAAGGACAUACGCUGGUAGUAAAAUUAUGUAAUAAUGUCACUGAGUAUCAACCUGAAAAUAAACGCUCUCUACAUAUGGAGAGACACACACAUACACACGGGGUUAGUGGAUAAAAAGACUUGUCGGCAUCAAAUAAGGAGCUAUGUCUGAUACUGGAAAUGAAUAUGACAUAAAUAACUCCAGUGAAUAGAUUUGUAGGCCUCUGAGCAGAUCUGGACAGGGAGUCUUAAAAGCAUUUCACUGGGUCCAGACGACAUCUCCACUGAAUCCUCGGUAUCCCUCUGCAUGCCCUGGCUUCUUUAGCAAGGUGAUCUGUGCAGAGGCAGGGAGGGAGCCAGGUACGUUCCUGUAGCUCUUAUGGUCUGGAUGACUGGUGAACCAGAACUAUGGACACCCUACAAAAUACAUCUGCCCUGUGCUUUGAAGACAAACCUUGGAAACAUUUAUGAUGGACAAAUAUCCUGCCUUCCUCAUCUUCUCAAGUGGCUUGUCUAGGAGUCACUCCUCUUCUAAAUGCAGUGUAGAGGUGGCUAGCAGGGCUUUAUGCUCCAGGGAUCCUUAAAUGAAAAAAUAACCUCUUCUGAGAUGUGACUAUCACUACACGCUUCCAGCAACCCUGAGGCUCAGAGUUACUGAUUUUUAUCUUGCGAAAUGCAUCGCAGCCUGAGAACAGGGAAGUCCCCAAACCAGCCUGUGACCAUCUUUCAUCUACUUUCUCCAGUGUUCCACGUAUAAAGAAUCAGUUUCAAGAAUGAGUAUGAGUUCCUUGGAGUGGCAACUUAAUGGGUCCUUAACAGUUCUCAGGUGGAGAGUGACAGGUCUCUCUCUCCUUCUCUCUCUUUUAUCAAGGGAAAAAACAUUUAAGGAAGUAACCUUGACUGUUAGAUAUUAUUAGAUGUUUUAAAGUUUGAUUUUUUUUUUCAAGUAACCUAUAGAUAGAACUAGGAAAUGCUAUCUCAGCUCACAUGAAAGUGUCAGAAAGGGUGAUAUAAAAAUAAGUACAUCUUUGCUUCAUAUUUUUAUAAACCUGAUUAUACUCUUCAUUUCUUGUGGAAGAAGAUCUUUAGAUACUUAGGAAGCAAAAGGACACCAAGAACAUCAUCAGUGCAUAUCAUGUUAUAUAUUACUUUUCUGAAAUCUCUAAAAACCUUGAAUUGGCUGCAGAAUAAAGAGGAAUCAUGAAAAACAGACUAACUAUAAAUACAGAAGAGACAAACAGCAAUAAUCAAAAAUUACAUAUCGACAAACAGUAAUAAAACCUCAGACCAUUACAGUCAUAUGGCAUACAUUGAUUUAUUACUAGAGCCAAUAAUACAUAGUUGCAAAACAAUAUAUGUUAUAUGUGGGAUGCGUAACUUCUUGUUCACAGCCUACCUGCUCAGCUGUGAUCAUAAAACAAAGAAGAUUCCUGUAACUUGCAUGAUGGUAACCCCAUACCCAUCUUGUCGGGGCUCAGCUAUUCUUUUUUGCAGGGGAGCAGGGAGGUUGCUUCCAACUUACAGUAUUGUUAGCAUUCAAAUGAGUAUGUUUAGAUACUGUUACUAUAGAGGAAACCAGGUAAAACUGCUUUCUUUUUACUUUUUUAUGUCUUUCCUGACUAAAUUCUGUAUCUAAAAUACCUUGUCUUUGAUGAUUGCUGUGCCAGUCAUGCCUUUGUGUUACAUGAUCUUAAGACUUUUUUAGUGCUUUCUAUCAACAGUAAUCAAGGAUCUGAUUGAAUCUAUAAUUGUUUGUGUUGCUGAUUAAAUAAGGAAAGUGAAAAAAAGGGGAGGAGACAACAGCACAAUAGAUGACCCAUGUGCUUUAGCAAAAUGAUGUUGACAGAUACAAAAUGACUCUACUGCUUAAUUCCCUCCCCCACAACUGCUGUUUCUUAUAACAUGGAUAAUGUUGUGAGGAACUGAGCACAUGUCGUAAGAAACAAUUAGAAGCUACGCAUAUCUAUGUCUACUUGGAAAAAUCAUACACUUUUCUGUGUAAGAAAGGUGAGGUGGAGAAAACAAUCAAAGAAGAAUCUUAUGGAAGAACAGUAUUACAAAUUACCAUAUCCUUGUCCAUGAAUAAAUGGGUUUUCAUAUUAGUUUGCUAUCCUUACAACCAAGGGUACUUCUGAAGGAAGUGAUUUACGAGGUGAGGUGAAAGAAGGCAUAUUGUAUAUACAGUACUAUACAAUGAGAAGAUGAAAAGAAAAACAGGAACCAACCAAUAUAAAGUGUAUUAUGAGGUGUCUGAAAAGUUUAAACAGGGAAUUGACUGAUCAGAAGCAAAAAGUGGAUAUCACAAUCCUCCAGUCAACCCAUCACCACAUUUUAAAAUUCUAUAAAGCAAACAGAUGAGUCUGAACCUAUUUUCUGUUAUGCAAUCAGAGUACGUAUGAAUUAAAAUAUAUAAUAUAGCUAACAUCAUUAAGUUAACACCACAGUAUUAAAUAGUUAUUUUAAUAAGGAUACCAGUUUUGCAGAAAGCAGGUAUGAUAAAAUAGUUUUGAAUCAUUUAAUAUUAUGAAAUAUAUUUGACAGUGUUAAAGGAGGGAGGAAGGUGGGAAAUUGGUGGCAGAGGCUUGGGAAGAACAGACGUGAAAAUAAUAGCGGUCUGUACACUGCUUUUCAAGAGUGCCUACAGAAUUAUCCAAUCUUCGAGUCGCAAAUGGAUUGACACUUACGAUAAAUAUAUUUAUGCAAUACCACAGUUAAAAGUGGCACUAAGAAUGUAAGAUACUAUAUAUUUCAAAAAGAAGACAUAUCGUAGUGUGUUUUAAACAUGGCUAUUAAAAUAGAAUUCAGAAAUGUCAAAGAUAAGAGAGCCAUAGGAAGAUAAGAACUACCUGGCAUGACAGGAGUGUAUAGCGUGAUUUUCAGCUUUUCCUAAUUUUGCAGAUAGCUAAUAUUUCACUAGAUAUCCCCCUUUUCUUCAGUUUAAUCUCACUAGCUGAAUAUUUACAUUUCUUCAGGCAAUCUUACUUGAACAGCAUGCUUCAGGACUAGCAGUGGGAGGAAGUAUUCCCGCCUUGCAAACCUACUGUUCUCUUAGAAAUGGAGAACUUGCCUCAGCACGGUGUGGGCUGCGAAACACAAAGACCCAUCUUUCUAUUGCACUUCAGUUCUGCCAGCCGUUUCAACCCAGCUGGCCAAAAUCUAGCUCAAUUCUGAAAACACACUUUUGAGUCAUUUAAUGUGUAUAUUUUGGUAUCAACAGGACUAUUCAUGGCAUAGUGUUUGCAGGAUCAGGGACUGUAAUUCUAUCUGAACCAAUACUAUGUCCAUGCUCCGUGAAACUCUUGUUGACUUUGGACGUUUUUCCUGAGAGCAAGAUCAGGCACUGAUUCCCCCCACCCCUAAGAACCAGUGCCUCUUUCUGCUUUUCUCCAGUAGUAAGUAGGUCUACAUUAGGGAGUUUAAGGAGUCAUUAUGUAAGGGAUAAAACUCCUCUUCAGUGCAAAGAAGUUUAUUUUCUUGUUUGCAAUGGGAGAUGUUCUUCCACGAUUCAUGGCAUAUAUAGGCAUUAUUUUUUUAAGGAUUUGAAGUUAACACCUCAAAUGUUUGUAACUUGCAACAACAGUGGAAAAUGGCAGUUUUGUGGGUCUGGGAAAUUUGGAUCAAGAAUGAAGGAAGUCCUGUCUGAUUAGGAACAGCUGAAAUUUUAUUGCUCUGUUUCACAUAAACAUUUGUUACAAAGAGAACCUGAGAGAACCAUAUUCGCCUUGUGUGAAACAAAAUAGUACUAAGUUGUCACAGCUGUAAUAUUUAAAGCCACAGUGUUUUUUGUCCACCUCACUCACACAAUUGCAACACUAUGGAAAUCAACAAUCACAUGGAUGCAUUUGGAUGGUUUCCAAGAAAUGGCAGAACACACAAUAUCCCUGCUACUACUGUGGUAAAAAGAUUCUGUGGAUAAAAGUCCACCCCAGGCAGAGAGCAAGCAUGCAGCACUUUAAAUAUCACUGCAGCUCAAAGAACAAACAGAAAGAAAAAGAACAGAAAGAAAAACAAGCAAAGAAUUUCUCAAAAGUGAAUCUAAUAGAAAAGUUUUACGACAAAAGUUUUUUCACAUAAGCGAGUUUGGGUUAUUUCCCUUUGUCCUUAUAUUCUCUUAAAGUGCAAGCAAUGAGGUGUUACUUGAGACUGAGGAAGCAAAGCAGGCAAGUUUGAUUUCAUUUUUCCAAGACAUAUGAAGAAGCAAAUGAAUAAAAAUGACGUCGUUUUUUUAAUCAACUGUUUUCCUUGCUUUUUAGGAGGGUAGAAUUUUAAGGGAGUUAAGUAUGACAACAAAUAGCAAAUUGCCUUUAUAGUGACUGCAGCUCUUUAAGAUACUUAGUGCUCAUGUUGUCAUUGAGGAUAUAUGGCUGUUGCAAAGGAGUAUGGAAAGGCUGCUUGUGCUUAUUCUGCAUCUUGCUGGUCGCUUGCAUGUACCCUAAUGGCAUGCAGGUGGGAGGAACCACCUACCUUUAAGCCCUUUCUCUGCCUGGAAUCCAGAUGAUAAGGCUCCAAACUGUGGGGGAAGUUGGCAAAUCAUGGGAGUCAUGGGUAAAGACGAUCUAAAAGAGACCAGUUUUGAAGUGAAUGUAGCUAUGUUCUUUUUCUUAUAACUGAAUCCCAAACUUGGCAACUUGCGUAUGGUUUGCUCCUCAUGGAAUUUUUUUGAACAAGACCAAAGGACUGAUUUGAUGCCAUCCCUUAGGACUAACAGUAAAUACAUGAAUUGACUGAAUAUGAUUGUUUGUCGGGGGCAAUGUGUACCAGAAGACGAUUAGGAGCAGCAACAAAGUAUUCCCUCGGUGCCAGAAGCCCUGGGAAAGUGCGCCUAACAUGAAGACUUGUGUCAGUGCCAAGACGGGCAGGUGCCCGUGAGCCAUCAGAAUGCAGAUAUUGAAACUAGGACAAGGACGUGAGAGAGGGAAGAUAAUCUUAAUGCAGAACGCGGCUUUUUGGUAAUGUAGCAAAGCAAGUUUAAUCAGUAAACACGGCUGUAUUCUUACAUAAUAAGGGUCCGGUAUGUAAGAGAGGACGAAAUAUGAAAUAAAUAAUCUUGCUUCACCAUACGCAAGGUUCGUGUCUUCAUCCCCACAAUUGUUCACUAUAUUUCACUUAUGCAUCCUCUACUAAAGCAUG